rnacentral:rRNA from 1 species
AGAGCGAACGCUGGCGGCAGGCCUAACACAUGCAAGUCGAGCGGCCGUAGCAAUACGGCAGCGGCAGACGGGAGAGUAACACGUGGGAACGCGCCCUUCGGUUCGGAAUAACUCAGGGAAACUUGAGCUAAUACCGGAUACGCCCUUACGGGGAAAGAUUUAUUGCCGAAGGAACGGCCCGCGUCCGAUUAGCUUGUUGGUGAGGUAAUGGCUCACCAAGGCGACGAUCGGUAGCUGGUCUGAGAGGAUGACCAGCCUCACUGGGACUGAGACACGGCCCAGACUCCUACGGGAGGCAGCAGUGGGGAAUAUUGGACAAUGGGCGCAAGCCUGAUCCAGCCAUGCCGCGUGGAUGAUGAAGGCCUUAGGGUUGUAAAGUCCUUUUAACGGGGAAGAUAAUGACGGUACCCGUAGAAUAAGCCCCGGCUAACUUCGUGCCAGCAGCCGC